rnacentral:rRNA from 1 species
CAGUAGCCGCGGUAACACGGAGGGUGCAAGCGUUAAUCGGAAUUACUGGGCGUAAAGCGCACGCAGGCGGUCUGACAAGUCAGAUGUGAAAUCCCCGGGCUUAACCUGGGAACUGCAUUUGAAACUGUCAGGCUGGAGUCUUGUAGAGGGGGGUAGAAUUCCAGGUGUAGCGGUGAAAUGCGUAGAGAUCUGGAGGAAUACCGGUGGCGAAGGCGGCCCCCUGGACGAAGACUGACGCUCAGGUGCGAAAGCGUGGGGAGCAAACAGGAUUAGAUACCCCUGUAGUCCCUGUCUCUUAUAU